GGGGGGUUGAUCGCUUGGAGGUCCUGGUUCCCGCUGUAGAGAGUCGAACGGAGGUCCUUCGGUAAUAAGCUGCAAGUGUAGAGUAUUCCAAACAUGGUAUAAGCAUCAAUAUCCCGGAUCCCUACAACAUGAGUCGAGGCUGCAAGUUGAGGGUCAAAACGAACUGGCUUUACUGGCACACAAACAUGGCAAUUUAUGCGGUUCCUCAGGUCCAAGGACAGCCCCUUGUGGACCUGAUGGAAUACAGGUACAGUACAAACAGGUGACCAAUCAUAGUACAGUGUAUCGUUUGAAUUAGUACCCGCCCAGCUUGGAGAUAAUUAGAUUGUAUAACCGUUGGCCUCAUUAUCUCCAAGCGCACAAAAGACCACGUUUUAUUAUGCCUCAUAAAAACUGUAUAAAAAUCCAUAACUUUAACAUCAAUAGAGGAAAACAGUUCAUUCUACCAUUCAUUCCAUAGCUCGCGUUCGAGCACAUUAAACAUACGAAUGGCGCUCCAAUCCCACGGGCAGAAUGAUCUAUUUCUGCUGAAUAAAGUCCUUUCGGUAUUUUGGAUCAUGAGUCUCUGAUGGCGGCCAUGUUUUUAGACGGUUUAACGAGCAGCGGGACCUCGCCUCCAACUUAUGGAACUAAACUCUGGUAUCAGUUCAUGCGAAUCCCCGCUGUCUGUCUGGUAGUGGAACUCGUUCGGUACAUGAAUGAGGACCACCUGGUAGCAUGGUACUUGAGUUGCAGUUAACCGCAGAAACCACAGGCUAAUUGCUGCCACACGACCCACUGUAGGGGGUCUCCGUUCAUGAGGUUAUUCGGUAGGUUCCCUUCGGUGAUUUGUGUGCGAACGUCGAUCCUCCAGGCCAGUCAAUUAGUCUGUGGUUAACCGCAGACGCCUGGGUGGUUAAUGGGCGCCACACUCCGCUGGUCGGGUGGUCGACCGUUCGGUACUUUGCAGGGUGAAGAGGUUUAUUGGCGGCACACGCCAGCGUUUGGGGGGUCUCUCGUUCGUAUCACGAAUGGGGUCUUUAUAAGAAUUCAUGUAAUCCAUUCGUGUUUCCUCUGGUUAAAUGUAUAGGGUUGUAACAGUAGCAACAUGUAAUAACAAUAAUGGAGUCAUUUUGAGUCUUUUGUAAC